UGAAGUUGCGUGCCAUAGGACCAGGAG
rnacentral:sRNA from 1 species